UACAGGGGGUGCAAACGUUGCUCGGAAUCAUUGGGCGUAAAGCGCACGUAGGCGGUUCGUUAUGUCGGAUGUGAAAGCCCUUGGCUUAACCGAGGAAGUGCAUCCGAAACUGGCGAGCUAGAGUACGAAAAGAGGAUCGCGGAAUUCCCGGUGUAGCGGUGAAAUGCGUAGAUAUCAGGAGGAACACCGAUGGCGAAGGCGGGUCUCUGGGCCGAUACUGACGCUGAGGAGCGAAAGCGUGGGGAGCGAACAGG
rnacentral:rRNA from 1 species